GUUAUAAAAGAGUAAUCAUUUAUUUUGUGAUAUAUAAAAGUUAUGUUAGUAGUAUUAUUUAUUUCUUCAGUAGUAAAAAUAAAAGAAUUAGGAAAUAAUUUAUUUAUCUCUAUUUUGAUAAUCCUAGUAUUAAUAUAUUAGUACGUUGCGGUCUAAUGUAAGUGGUAAAUGGGGUGCCAGUAAUCACGGUUAUACCUCUACUUAAAUUUUAUUUGUGUAAUUAAAUAAAUAUUAUUAUUUUGGGACUAUGGUAAAAUAAAAACCCAAAAGGCAAUAAAAAUCACACCCAUUUAUAGAAUCGGAUUAGGUACCCGACUAUUAAGUAUAUAUAAAUUAAUAUUAUAUGUUUAUGAAUUUAAAAAAAUUAGGCGGUCCCUUUUAAAUUAGAGGAACUUGUUGGUUUUGAUCGAUAAUCCCCGAUAGUUUUUGAUAAUUUUAUUUUGAGUGUAUGUUCGUUUAAACUUGUAACAAUUAUUUAGUUUGAAAUUUCAGAUCCCAUGCCAAAAAAUUAUAAUUGGAUGAGUUACAAUUAUAAAAAUAUUUUUAAUUUAUUAAGUUAUUUUCAAAAGAGGAUUUAAAAGUAAAUAAGUUGAGGAAUAUAUAUGCAGAGAUAUAUCUUAUUGAAUAAAUUGUAGGGGAGUACUUACCGCCCGCCACUAAUUUUGAAAAUUAUUAUAAGGCGUAACAAGGUAUGCCUUCUAGAAAGAGGGCAUGGAU